rnacentral:rRNA from 1 species
AGCGAACGCUGGCGGCAGGCCUAACACAUGCAAGUCGAACGGCAGCACAGUAAGAGCUUGCUCUUACGGGUGGCGAGUGGCGGACGGGGCAGGUAUACAUCGGAAUCCACUCUUUCGUGGGGGAUAACGUCGGGAAACUUACGCUAAUACCGCAUACGACCUACGGGGGAAAGCAGGGGUUCUUUGGACCUUGUGCGAUGGUAUGAGCCGAUGUCGGAUUAGCUAGUUGGCGGGGUAAAGGCCCACCAAGGCGACGAUCCGUAGCUGCUCCGAGAGGGUGAUCAGCCACACUGGCGCUGAGGCACGGUCCCGACUCCUGCGCUAGGCAGCAGUCGGGAAUAUUAGGCAAUGGGGGCGAGCCUGAUCCAGCCCUACCGCGUGGGUCCAGAAGGACUUCUGGUUGUAAAGCCCUUUUGUUGGGAGAGAAAAGCAGCAGGUUAAUCCCCCGCUGUACUGACGGUACCCGAAGAAUAAGCACCGGCUAACUUCGUG